UCUGCCUCAACAAGAAUGGAGUGCUCGAAUAAAAAUUUUAGCAGAGUUUCUAAGGUAAAAAUGAGAGCUUAGAGGAUAACGUAUCUGGGGUCCCCCUUUUAUAGGCAGAGGGGAUGAUAGACUGAUAGCGAUAUCUGUAACCGUCCGACAGUGAGCCACCCAGAGUCAGGAGGAGUUUGUUGCGAAGAGUAGUGGAGCGGAAUCAUGGCUAUCAUCGGGACAUGCCACGUGGAGUCUGCCGUGGAGAGUGGAGCGGCGUCCGUUGUCGCGACUUGCCA
rnacentral:lncRNA from 1 species